GACGAACGCUGGCGGCGUGCUUAACACAUGCAAGUCGAACGGAAAGGCCCUGCUUUUGUGGGGUGCUCGAGUGGCGAACGGGUGAGUAACACGUGAGUAACCUGCCCUUGACUUUGGGAUAACUUCAGGAAACUGGGGCUAAUACCGGAUAGGAGCUCCUGCUGCAUGGUGGGGGUUGGAAAGUUUCGGCGGUUGGGGAUGGACUCGCGGCUUAUCAGCUUGUUGGUGGGGUAGUGGCUUACCAAGGCUUUGACGGGUAGCCGGCCUGAGAGGGUGACCGGCCACAUUGGGACUGAGAUACGGCCCAGACUCCUACGGGAGGCAGCAGUGGGGAAUAUUGCACAAUGGGCGGAAGCCUGAUGCAGCAACGCCGCGUGCGGGAUGACGGCCUUCGGGUUGUAAACCGCUUUCGCCUGUGACGAAGCGUGAGUGACGGUAAUGGGUAAAGAAGCACCGGCUAACUACGUGCCAGCAGCCGCGGUGAUACGUAGGGUGCGAGCGUUGUCCGGAUUUAUUGGGCGUAAAGGGCUCGUAGGUGGUUGAUCGCGUCGGAAGUGUAAUCUUGGGGCUUAACCCUGAGCGUGCUUUCGAUACGGGUUGACUUGAGGAAGGUAGGGGAGAAUGGAAUUCCUGGUGGAGCGGUGGAAUGCGCAGAUAUCAGGAGGAACACCAGUGGCGAAGGCGGUUCUCUGGGCCUUUCCUGACGCUGAGGAGCGAAAGCGUGGGGAGCGAACAGGCUUAGAUACCCUGGUAGUCCACGCUGUAAACGGUGGGUACUAGGUGUGGGGUCCAUUCCACGGGUUCCGUGCCGUAGCUAACGCUUUAAGUACCCCGCCUGGGGAGUACGGCCGCAAGGCUAAAACUCAAAGGAAUUGACGGGGCCCCGCACAAGCGGCGGAGCAUGCGGAUUAAUUCGAUGCAACGCGUAGAACCUUACCUGGGUUUGACAUGGAUCGGGAGUGCUCAGAGAUGGGUGUGCCUCUUUUGGGGUCGGUUCACAGGUGGUGCAUGCCUGUCGUCAGCUCGUGUCGUGAGAUGUUGGGUUAAGUCCCGCAACGAGCGCAACCCUUGUUCACUGUUGCCAGCACGUUAUGGUGGGGACUCAGUGGAGACCGCCGGGGUCAACUCGGAGGAAGGUGGGGAUAACGUCAAGUCAUCAUGCCCCUUAUGUCCAGGGCUUCACGCAUGCUACAAUGGCUGGUACAGAGAGUGGCGAGCCUGUGAGGGUGAGCGAAUCUCGGAAAGCCGGUCUCAGUUCGGAUUGGGGUCUGCAACUCGACCUCAUGAAGUCGGAGUCGCUAGUAAUCGCAGAUCAGCAACGCUGCGGUGAAUACGUUCCCGGGGCU
rnacentral:rRNA from 1 species